rnacentral:lncRNA from 1 species
AGGCUCGGCCCGGUGCGAACCGUUCCUGCCGCCGAGUCCGCCACGGACGGCGCGUUUCCCGCCUGAGGCGGUUACGGAAACGCGGAGACUCGAGACUUGAAGCCAGCUUAUUCUGGACCCACGCAGGCGACUGAAGACGAUGGGACCCACUGCCCUGCAUUCGAGAAACCUGAUGUAAAGCAAAAGUCCAGCAGGAAGAAAGUGGUCGUUCCACAGAUCAUCAUCACGCGAGCGUCGAAUGAGACGCUAGUCAGUUGCAGUUCCAGCGGGAGUGACCAGCAGAGAACCAUUCGGGAGCCGGAGGACUGGGGCCCCUACCGGCGGCACAGGAACCCCAGUACAGCAGACGCCUAUAAUUCACAUCUCAAAGAAUAAACAAGCACCUUUGCAUGGCACUCGCUACUCCCUGCGAUAGGCGUCUCGGGAACAGCCGCCUCACCCUGUGAGAAGCCGAGGCCCCUUCUCCAGUGCUCUCGGGGAGGUUGCACCAGGCCCACCCCACCCUAUGAGGGCUCCUGAUUGUGGAAGGCCACGGAAGGGACCUGAACACGAUGGCACGAGACAAGUUAUCUCCUGUGACUGCUCCUCUCCAGCAACCCUCAGCUCAGGCUAGACUUUCCCCCUGUGUUGAGAAUGCCCUGCCCUGUGUGGAAGCCUGAUGCAUUUAGUGACAGUGUGUUAGCUUUGUUAGUUUCUAGUCUGGCCAGCAGGCUUUCCA